rnacentral:lncRNA from 1 species
UUUUGGAAGUGUACCUUUAAGAAGCAUAUGGCAGAACACAAAUGUAUUAAAGUCAUCAAUAUUUAUGGAGCAGGUAAAUGCAUAUUAGACAGGCUAGAUGCCAUCUGUCAAAAUAAUCUUGAUUCCAACUUGCUAUCCAAAAAGAUGAAGACUAUUUCUAGGGCCAGCUCCUUAAGUCAGGUUAAAAGACAACAUAUUCCUGUGCCAACAAAAGUGAGGUUAUCACAUAAAUGAAUAUGAAAGGAUAUCCUUAUGUAUUGAGUCACUGUCAAUUCCAGACAUGUACCAAAAAUGUCGGACUCUGAACACGUCAUGGAGCAGCCCUUAGGCACAACUUUGUCAAAGUAAUUUUGUCCUUCAGACCAGAGUGCUAAUUGUUCAGAAGUGCCCGGGCAAAUUUAGCCAAAAGUAAAUUAACUGGUGACUCUGUAGCCCAUUCUUAAAUCAACUAUGGGAAGAGUGGACCACAGAAGCACAUUGGUGGAAUAGAUUAUUUUAGGUAAGGAACAGGCUGAAAUUUUCCCCUUUCUAGAUUAAUUUCAGGAAGUGUUGGGGUUUAAAUAUUUAACAGUCUAAUCCUGCAUCAGCUUAUGUUAAUAAAACUGUCAUUAAACCCUGGAGGAAGAAAUUUCAGACCUUGGAAGUUAAAUUUAUUUUAAUCCUGUUACACAGGGCUGUUUAAUGUUCUCCACAGAAAUCCCUAAAAUAAGGCAAAAGUGACUUGGUUUUCAGAUUUUGGGGGGAUUUUUGUUUCACACGCACCAACCUGAAGCUCUGAUCAUGUUUGCCAAUUUGGCUAGAAUUCUGACUAAGCUUAGGGGAAAAAAAACAAACCUAAGUUAUAGCAGGGGUUUCAUGUGGUUUACGGUUUCAACCCAAAUAACUUUUAGAAUUUUUUGAGUUUCAUUCAGAAUUAAACAAAGCAGACAGUAAAUUGAAGAAAAGGGGAUGUGAAUGGUGGUGCAGCCCAAGCAGGUUUGUUGUGUAAGAGUAGAGAGAGACCCUUCCACUGGUCAUUAUCAGGGCUAAGUGCAAAAUCCCCCUUUUCAAUGUUAAAAGAAGUAUUUGAAAUUCAAUUAGCUAACAUAGCGUCAGCUGCUUCUUUUAUUUCCUCAUUCUUAAGAAACUCCAAGAGUAGACAAUUUCUGUAUAUUUAGAAGAGUUUUUUAAAAUGCCAGGAAAUGUGUCAUGUUCAGUAACCAAUAGACAUUUCAUUAACAAAGUUUCUAUUAAGCAACACACAGCCAAAGUCUCCUGAAAUCAAAGGGGGACUUUCCAUUUGCACCUUAAACAAGACUUUUAAAUACAAGCCAGGUAGUAAAAAAUUAGGCCUAAUUAUUAGAUUUAUUUUUUAUGACAUGCUUAUGUCCUCUGCUAUGUUAUUAAAUGCAGACUGCCUGAUCAAGGGUAUUUUUUUCCCUGAAAUGGGCUCCCCAAGUCUAUUUUAUAUCAUAGCAAAUACCUACAAAAUACAUUUGCCCAUUAAUGCCUUCAUUAAAAACAAGUUAAAUUUACAAGAUGAAAGCAACUUUUUAGUGAGGGUUUGUUUUUUGGGUUUUUUUUCUGUCCUACUGGCUCCAUGUUUCAUCAGUGAUGUGAACCAAAAAAUCCUAAAAUGGCCUGGGUUGGAAGGGACCUUAAAGAUCACCUAGUUCCAAAUUCUCUGCUGAGGACAAGGAUACUUUCCCCUAGACCAGGUUGCUCCAUCCAACCUGGCCUUGAACUCUUCCAGGGAUGAAGAAUGGAUGCUUGGUUGUUGGUGAUGCAAAAGAACUUGCAAUUUUUUCAUUUUUCUCUCAAAACCUCUUAUUGGGAUAAUACAUUGAGGUAUUAAGUGCAGUGGGGUUUGUUUGUUUUCCCUACCUUCAAAAGGGGUUUAUAAAAUACUAGAAAAUGACACAAUAUUCCAGUUCAGAGGUAGAAAGGGGGGAAAAAUAAUAAGGUCACUGAAAACAGGGCAUAUUUUUUCCUGUACAUGUAGAGGUCUGUGUUCUCAUUUUGAUUCUUUGACUUAAGCCCAUCCUGCAAAAUAUCUUCAGGAGUGCUCUUCACUGUGAGUGGAUGUGGCUGAGCUCCAUCUCUAACCCUGACCUCAUAGAAAACAUUCAAGGAAGACUAAGUCUAAUUUAAUCCAUUAUAUGAUUGUGCAAAAUUGCUUAACCGAAUCACAGAAGCAAAGGCAUCUACCCUGGGACAGACAUUGUCAAAGAGCUUUCAAAUGCAAAAUACAAUCUUACAGGUGAUUUAGUCGUGGGAAUUCAGCACUGAGUGUGUGCUUCACUUCUGCCUCUCCAAUCAAAACAAUGGAGCCACUAUAGAGAAAGAAAUAUUAGAACCAUUUCCCUUAUUAACUUUUCUUAUUAGAGGAUAUUUAGCUGUCUAUUCAUCUUUUCUUUUUCUUCAUUUAAUCAAAGAAGUUUUGUAAAGGAUCCUUAUUAGUAACAAAACUUCUUCCAGGGGUGAGGAGACAUUUUAAUUCUUUUUCUUAAGUAACAAAUUUAAAUAUUGGUUUCAAGAGGAAGAGGGGGGAGAAUUCUGAAUGAAAUGCAUCAAAUUCAAUUCUGAAUGAAGUUUCUUUCCACAAAAUCCAGUAGUUCUUGCAAAAGUAAUAUUUCUUCCACAACUAGCUCUUGCUUGUUAGUCACUGAAUGUUGUUUACUAGUUGGGAAAAAAAAAAAAAAAAAAAAAAAAGGUGUUUUGUUGUUUGAUUUCUGCCUCAAGUAGUUUGAAUGCAUGUUUAUACCUCAUUCAGUGAGCUGGUAAAGUGCACUGACAAAACCCUCAAGAUUUGGGAGGUUUUUUGUUAUUUGGUCAGUCCUACUUCAGGUAAACAUUACCAUAAAAAUUACCUUACUUCACUGAAACUCAACCCCAUUUUUCAUUAUUUUAGUCUGGCAUUGGACCUGUAGCAGAGUGGAAUAGCUGACACAAAGCUGAGAAGUUUGGCUCUAGGGUACCUCACCUCUGUUGUCCUUUGCAGGCCUGUGAUUCUGGGGCUGUUUACAUUUGCUGUCAGAGCACAAAGGGGAUGUUAUGGGUAAUAACAAGACCUGGAAGAAGCC